rnacentral:misc_RNA from 1 species
ACUGGAGCACUCCGUCCAACGACAGCACCGUCGGUCCUAUUUUGCACCCUUCCUCUAAGAGUCUGUGCACCCAAUAACAGGGUGGCGCCGCGAGUACAACAAAGGACCCGAUAAGGAGUCUCAGAGAAGGGCUUCAUGGACCACACCAGAGGCGGCGGACGUGACGCAUCAUCAGCAUAACGCCUUGACUUUCUCUCCCUCACCCGCAGCAUCCGCCACGUUUUCAUCCCGUUGCCUCUGCAGGAAGAGGGGUAUCCACGGCGCCGACGUCUCUUGACAGCGUCUCUUGACGGUGCGCUUGGUCAACAUCGAUUUUAUCGGAGGCGCAGGUCAGGUGCGUGCGCCUGAUUGCUGGCCUGUUGGCUCGGGUCCUCUCUCUCUAGGUUCCCCUGUCUUCUGCCACAGCGCCCUUCUUCUUUGUCUGGGCUCGCUACCGGCACGCACCAGCUUAGCCCUGCCACGAUCCUUUGGCCGAGGAGCACUUUUUCUUUUGUUUUGUCGCCGGCUACGUCCGGCGCUGUUUCGUGUCCUUUCCGUUUCCUCAUGCUCCGAUGCCUGCGCGCAUCGAGUGUUUUGCUCGCCUUUCCCCUCCCCACACUUUCUUUGUUUUUCUUCGUUUGCGGGCUUCCGUUGGCCUGCAACCACUGCACCCGCCUCGGCGCCCAUCGGCCCGGGCAAUCCCCUCUACUGUGUCCGCUGGCCUUGCUGCCGCUGCUUCAUGUUUUUUUUUUUUGCCUACUCGUCUGCGCCACAUGCCAUUCAGUCGGUCAUGAGCAGGAGAGCUGUUGUUGAUUUCGUUGCCGUUCUCGGUCGCUUCUCGUCUCACCAACGAUCCGUCUGCGCGCGCGUGAACAUCGCGUGAAGGAAGCGCGUGGCUAAUCGAGUUCGUCAAUCUUGAGCGCAACCGUGAGCCCUUCUCUGGAUCAGUAGAGGCGUUGUCGUUUCCGUGACGAGCACAAGCGCGAUCCCGCCCCCUUCCUCCCGCCUCUGCGUGUGAGUGUAGGCUAACCAGAGGGUUUUCUCGCCUCGGUGUGCUUCAAAGUCACACACACGCACACACAUACGCACGCAAAAAGAUAAAGGAGCACGUGCGCAUUCACACGAAGACAAGCAGCAAGCCGCACCUGGGCGUGCAAUGUGGCGUGCGCUGCGUAGGGUGGCCUUCUGGGGCUCAUGGCUUGCCGUUGCAGUCCUUUGUGGCAGCAGCGGAUGGGUCAGCAGAGCCACCAUUGUAAACUACACCGUCACCUCAGUGACGCGAGGUCAGCUGGCUGUCUUGUCGCAUGAGCACUGGGCCCAGUACCAAACAAUAUGUGGCUCACCCAACGCAACCCAAACCUGGAAUGACACAUCCUUAAUGAGGUUUGUCUUCCCGCCCCUCUCGCGUGCCGGUGUGAGUGCUGCUUUCUACGCCUGGAACGGCAUCUCCUGGUAUGUGAGCGACAUGGGGUUUCUGUCCCCUACACCGUAUGGCAUGUGCAAAGGCUUUUGCCAGAAAGAAAUCUACGCGACGCUGCAGGGCAACUAUGCCUUCUCUGACAACGUGUCAGUGCUGUACGACGGCGGUGGCGACUGGCCCAUGAUUUCCUUCUACGCAGCGCCCUUUGCGCUCAGCGGCGGAUUUCCCUCCCAAGUCAGCAUCGCCACGCAGGACACCAUAGCGGACGGAGACGUUAGCUCUGCAGCUGGUGAGCACACGCCUGAUAGCAUCCAAGGAAUUCGAAACUCAGGCGUCGACGGGGGGUACACAACUCUCGAGUACUGCAACGUGCCGAUUCUUGGAGGAACAGGCUCUGCGCAGACGCAGCUGACGGCACAGGUGGUGGUGUACGCUAACGGCACCAUCAUUAUGCGGUACGCCUCGCUGCCAGACACCAGCACGCUGCCCGAGUACAUGCCGAGCACGGGGCUCAUCUACUCAAAGACGCUGCGCACGGUGGUGCCGACGCCGACGACGGUGAACGGCAUUGUCGCAUACCGCUUCGACCCCGUGUUUGACGGGUGCGCCGCACAUGGCGAUGCCUCGGUGUGCACGGCGGACACGGGGGGCGACUGCGUGUGGUGCUCCUCCACGUCCGCGUGCUGUGCGAGCACGUUGGCGUCGGCGGUGUGUCCACGCGGGCAGUGGACAACGCCUGCGAGCAGCACGGCUGCCUUCGCGCCGCAGAAAUUCUACGACGUCACCGUGGACUUCAACGGCGUCUUCCGUGAUUUUGUCAGCACGUACAGGGACCUGAGCGCAGUGGACCGAUUUGAAGUGAUAACUGGAUGGGAUGGUGUGCUGUUUGAGAGCUAUAAUUCGACGUUUCUUCAGUGCCGCCCUGGCCUUUCCUGCACCAUUGCCCCCCAUAUGAACAGCUGUAACCCCAUUAUGGACACCUGCCCGAACGGCAACUACACGCUGACGAUCCUCGGGCUGCAUUCGAACCUCGUCUGGGGGGCAGAAGCUAAAGCGAUCUCGACCUUGACGUCGACUGAGCCGGACGGAACACCGCUCUGCACCAGCGAAGGGUGUGGUCAGGGCUUCAUGCUGAAAGUAACUGGCUCACGGUUGCAGACCGGCAGCAUCGUCUCUACGACGUUUACUGUGCAGCUGUUCCUAGACACAAGCGGUAUGGUGGACCUAGUCAUUCAGGCAGACAGGGUCCGCGCUGGAACGCCGCUACUCGCGUACCCUCCAAUGCGCGUUGGACUUGUCCGCUAUGGCGUGGACGACGUAUCAUCGGUCAUGAUCCCGCAAGGCCUCCUGCGCAGUGGGCUGCACGUCCGCUUCGUGCCGCUGUCGAGCUGCAAGGACUGCGGAUUGAACGGCUUGUGCGACAAGGCCUCAGGUACGUGCCAGUGUCAGCCGGGGUACCACGGCAGCAGCUGCGUGGCGUGCCCUGCGUGCUGGACGGGCAGCAAGUGCGACGACGGGAUCAACGGCAGUGGGACGUGUCUGUGCAACGGAGGCGCGUGCGAGGCAGCGUGCGUGAACGCGAGCAGCGGGAGCGUGCCGCCGCGGAGCUGCGCCGGGUGCGAUGCUGUUGGUGGGCGGUGCAACUGCGGCGUGUGCGAAUGCCGGGAUGGGUGGAGCGGCGCGGGCUGCAGCGAGGCUCCUGCUGACGCGUGCCGCGCGUACUCGUUUGACGGGUGCGAGGUGUGCGGGCAGCACGAGGGGUGCGUGUUCUGCCAUGACUCGACGUGCUUCAAUCCUGCGCUGAGUGGGACGCGUGACGGGUACACGUGCUCGUACAGCACCCCCGCCGCCGACACGCAGGCGUGCGUGACCUACCGCAGCCGUGGCUCGAAGCCACCCCUGUACAAGGGCUUUGACUUCAUCGCGAUCAUUUGCUUAGCCUUGUCGGCACCCGUUGUCUUUUCGCUGCUCAUCUUCGUCGUUGUCGUUCGCCGCAACCGUCAAGCUCCGAAUCCGAUGGAUGUGUUUUCGGUGAUAGGGGCGCCGGAGUUUCGCAAUCUGCAGAGGGAGCGGGAGGUAGUUCAGGCUGCCUUCACACGGAAACGGGUGCGAGAGAGAGAGAUGAUGGGCAUUCCGUUGAAGCAGAUAUCUCUUCGACGGCUGUUCAAGCGGCGAAAGGAGGGCUUAAUGAGCGGUCCUGCGCAGUAAGGUAGGUUCGUUGGUCAGCUGUUUCGGCGUCCGCCGACUGAACGGAGCAGGGGGUAGUGAAAGGCAGAAAGUGUACUUGCGAUGCCUUCUCGCACAGCGUAUAGAUGUGCGGCUGAUUAAUAAACGAUGGUGCCCUAGCUCGAAACGGGAGAGGAGGUUUCGCUUGAGUGCCGUUCUCUAUCGCCCCUCCCUUGGUCAGCUGUGGUGAUGGCCGCGUAACCUCUCGGUCUUCUUUCCUCGUUUUACUCACAGAACUCCCUGAUGGCUGCUGAAGGAGAGGGGGCCGCCGCCGUGCGCGGUGUCGCGGUGCCCGCUGCCCCAGACUCUGUCUUAUGAGGCCAGGCAGUUCCCUCACCCCCCCCGCCCCCUCCAUCCCUGCGAGUGCAGAGCCACAUCUGGCGGUGACCGCGUCCGUCACCCGCUACGUGGGGAAGUUAUAGCGAGUCCUCGCUGCUGAUGUGGGCGGCCAGGUCGCGGAGGGCGCGGCGCCGGGGCGCCCUGCGAGGCGGGGAGUGUGGGCAGAGCGCGAGGCAGGGGCUGCACUGAGACGGCUGCGUCGGGGCGUUUGCUGCAACGCGUGUGCCUACGGCUGCUUCGCACCACGCGACGGGGCCUGUGGCAGGGCCGGAGGUAGAUGUGCGGGUAACUCAUGUUGCAUGGCAGACAGCGUACGCGGUGCACAGGGGGAGAAUUCGUUCUCAGCUUGUUUUGAUGCUGCUGCUGCUGCAUGCUCUCCUUUUGCGUGCAGAUUGGUCUGCACCAUGCAGGCGCUAGUUUACGACUGUUUUCGUCCCCUUUUGCAAAGGAAAUGAUAGAGGGCACUUCUAAGUUUGAAAAUGUAUUCUAUGCCAGGUGUUCCCGGCGUGGUCGACGGCACAUAUUGUGCGUACGCUUGCGGCGUGUUUGUCUGUGUAUGACUCCUUUCUCCUCUCCCCCUACCCCCCCCCCUUUUCUAUUUAUAUCCUUACACUGUGCCUCCGUUGCCCCGUUGACGAAUUGGUAUGUGUGUAUAUGUGUGUGUGUGUACGUGUACUAGUCUGCUGCGGCUGUGAGUUCUGUGCUGAGGGGUGGUACUGCUCACGAUAACCAUUGCUGCUUUUCUAAGUCGUUUCUUUCUUUUUUUUUUCAUCGUAUGUAUGUAAUCGUUUUUAUGUGUGGGUUUUGAAUUUUGUCGUCUUCUAUUUAUGAUGUAGGCAGGCUAGAGUGGUGUGUGUGUAGGGGGUGGGAGGGGGCGUCUAUGGCUGCAGUGCUGCCCCUGCUGCCCCCUGCUGCCCCCUGCUGCUGUAUUGGGCAAAGGGACCUUGCUUUUUCUUGUUUUUUUGUUUCGCCUGUAAGUGGGAAUUCUUUAUCCUGUCGUGCGUGUGUGCCUCUCAGUGACGCGUAAAGGCCGCUCACAGAGGUUUUGGAACGGAGACGAGUGGAGGGGCGUUGGCUCUCUGCUUCCCAGGGUGAUGCAAAGGGGUUUUGCAUGCGCGCUGGUUUUGCGUGAAAAGGGAGGAGAAAAGAGCGGAGGUAGUGGGUAACAGAGAGAGAGUCGUUGCUCUUGCACCCACCUAAGGCCCAGCGAAGGAGGCGCACAGGGACUGUGCCUGUGUGUGCCGUUUCAAACGGUAACGUUGAGAGUUUUCGCCGUGUUGCUCAUCUCCAUCCUCGCUAUACAGAGAGAGAGCUUCUCGGGACUGUCUAGCGGCCUCGUAACAUC